rnacentral:rRNA from 1 species
UACAGAGGUCCCAAGCGUUGUUCGGAUUUACUGGGCGUAAAGGGUGCGUAGGUGGCGAGGUAAGUUCGAUGUGAAAUCUCCGAGCUCAACUCGGAAAUGGCAUUGAAUACUAUCCCGCUUGAGGGUCGGAGGGAGACUGGAAGUUCUCGGUGUGAGCAGGUGAAAUGACGUAGAUAUCGAGAGGAACACCAGUGGCGAAGGCGAGUCUCUGGACGACUCCUGACACUGAGGCACGGAA